UAUUUAUAUAAUUGAUAUAAAUCAAAACAUCGUGUUAUUUCUGAUUAAUUUUUCGAAUUACUUUAUUAAGGUGUUGAGAACCUUUGGUGACCCCAUAGUUUGAGUGUCUUUAAAAAGUACAUAGUGAGCAGUGGUCGUUACAUACAAACGUUCACCUAAAUUUUCCCAGUCAAUGGAUGAAUUUAAUGUGUCAAUCAAUGGCCACAGCCACACUGUUUUGAAUUUC
rnacentral:lncRNA from 1 species